rnacentral:rRNA from 1 species
UACGUAGGUGGCAAGCGUUAUUCGGAAUUAUUGGGCGUAAAGGGCGCGUAGGCGGCUUUUCAAGUGACGGGUGAAAUCCCUCGGCUUAACCGAGGAACUGCCUGUCAGACUGGAAGGCUUGAGACCGGGAGAGGUGAGUGGAAUUCCCAGUGUAGCGGUGAAAUGCGUAGAUAUUGGGAGGAACACCAGUGGCGAAGGCGGCUCACUGGACCGGAACUGACGCUGAGGCGCGAAAGCGUGGGGAGCAAACAGGG